ACGCACGCUGGCGGCGUGCUUAACCCAUGCCAGUCGCACGGAAAGGCCCUGCUUUUGUGGGGUGCUCGAGUGGCGAACGGGUGAGUAACACGUGAGUAACCUGCCCUUGACUUUGGGAUAACUUCAGGAAACUGGGGCUAAUACCGGAUAGGAGCUCCUGCUGCAUGGUGGGGGUUGGAAAGUUUCGGCGGUUGGGGAUGGACUCGCGGCUUAUCAGCUUGUUGGUGGGGUAGUGGCUUACCAAGGCUUUGACGGGUAGCCGGCCUGAGAGGGUGACCGGCCACAUUGGGACUGAGAUACGGCCCAGACUCCUACGGGAGGCAGCAGUGGGGAAUAUUGCACAAUGGGCGGAAGCCUGAUGCAGCAACGCCGCGUGCGGGAUGACGGCCUUCGGGUUGUAAACCGCUUUCGCCUGUGACGAAGCGUGAGUGACGGUAAUGGGUAAAGAAGCACCGGCUAACUACGU
rnacentral:rRNA from 1 species